AUUGAACGCUGGCGGCAGGCUUAACACAUACAAGUCGAGCGGAGAUGAGGUGCUUGCACCUUAUCUUAGCGGCGGACGGGUGAGUAAUGCUUAGGAAUCUGCCUAUUAGUGGGGGACAACAUUCCGAAAGGAAUGCUAAUACCGCAUACGUCCUACGGGAGAAAGCAGGGGAUCUUCGGACCUUGUGCUAAUAGAUGAGCCUAAGUCGGAUUAGCUAGUUGGUGGGGUAAAGGCCUACCAAGGCGACGAUCUGUAGCGGGUCUGAGAGGAUGAUCCGCCACACUGGAACGGAGACACGGCCCAGACUCCUACGGGAGGUAGCAGUGGGGAAUAUUGGACAAUGGGGGAAACCCUGAUCCAGCCAUGCCGCGUGUGUGAAGAAGGCCUUAUGGUUGUAAAGCACUUUAAGCGAGGAGGAGGCUACUGAGACUAAUACUCUUGGAUAGUGGACGUUACUCGCGGAAUAAGCACCGGCUAACUCUGUGCCAGCAGCCGCCGUAA
rnacentral:rRNA from 1 species